CCAAUUACCUCCCAGCACGGUCUCCGGUUACCGGACCGCGAGGCGCACCUGGGCCGCGCAGUAGAGUGUGCAGGGUAGGUGUUCAUGUUUCUAAACAAGCCGUUUCUCUGUGAUAGCAAAGUGUUUUUUUUAUUUCAAUGUACGCUACUCGAUGACAUUAGAUGUAGGCUACUGUCCUGCGGAGAUCACUUGUGGCGUGUGGUUAUUACCGGGGCGUUUGGAAAGCGGCGGGACGCACUGUAUCCAAGCAACACCGAUACAACUGAUGGACGUUUCAGGUCAAAGUGAAAUUGCCACACAUAGAAUUCCUCGUUUCUGUUUCAUAACCAUAUGGGUAGGUCUACAAUAUUGUCGAAGUCCGGACUCGGGUCCAGGUAUUUGAAGGACUGGAUGCAUUUGGGGUAAUCAUGUCUUCUCUGGGCGCACGGAGAGAGUUUAAAACCGGACCGCUGUACUUCUUUGACCAGCCAACAGCGCGGGAUCGAUCAUCGGGGACGCGCGUUCUGCAUUUUAGUUUGGCCGACGAAGGCGCCCGCUGGGCAGAAACAGUGCAUAGGUGAACUACAACGAGCAAUGACCUUGUUGUGACCAAUUGUCUUAUCCUUUUUUAAAUUGGUUUGUAUCACUCAUGUAUUGACUACAAUUAUCAUUUCUGGAAUUCAUUUUUCUUCUAGCUCUUCAAAGAACAAACUUUGUUUUACUAAAGAAGGCGACGACGAGAACAAUGCCCAUACACAGUCACGUGGGUCAUUUGGGAAGAAUAAAGACCACACGGUCAACGGUGAAUCAAACGUUUGUGAUAGGAUCCCAGACCAGAAAGUGGUCGAUCCGUUGGGAGCCUAUAAGGAUGCUGCCCCUGAGCUGCUGGGGGAACUGGAGUCCCUUCUCUCCCGGUACCAGUGGUCCGAGGAGGGCUGUAUUCCACGGGGAGUCGUCAACAUCCUCAACUGCUCGUCACAAGAUCUGACCGCUGUUGUGUUGGAAAGUGGGAAAAGUCCCUUUCAAGGGGCCGACUGCGCAAAACACACUCUGAAUCUGAAAUCACAUAUCCCAGUGGCCGAUAGGAAUACGCCGAAGGAGCUCAUCGUAGAGAGCGUGAGAAAACUGAAAAAGAAGAAGUCCUCCCCAAAACCUCCCUUCGAGAGGAAAGUAAAACCGCGACCAGAUUUGCCAACGAGGGCUUUUUCCCCUGACGCACACAAAGACAGGGCUAAUGCCUCUUCCAGCAUCAGCUUCUCCAUGUCUUCAAAGAUCUGCAAGGACCAAGGAUGGAUCGUGGAGGCCGCGCGGCUGUGCUACGAGGAGCCCCAGCGGAGUGCCGUGUGGCAGUGGGUGCUCCGACGGCUGCAGAGCGCCCGGAU